GCCGGAGUGGCGGAAUUGGCAGACGCGCACGGUUCAGAACCGUGUGAUAGCAAUAUCGUGGAGGUUCAAGUCCUCUCUUCGGCA
rnacentral:tRNA from 1 species